AGAGUUUGAUCAUGGCUCAGGAUGAACGCUAGCUACAGGCUUAACACAUGCAAGUCGAGGGGAAACGACAUCGAAAGCUUGCUUUUGAUGGGCGUCGACCGGCGCACGGGUGAGUAACGCGUAUCCAACCUGCCCACCACUUGGGGAUAACCUUGCGAAAGUAAGAUUAAUACCCAAUGAUAUCUCUAGAAGACAUCUGAAAGAGAUUAAAGAUUUAUCGGUGAUGGAUGGGGAUGCGUCUGAUUAGCUUGUUGGCGGGUAACGGCCACCAAGGCUACGAUCAGUAGGGGUUCUGAGAGGAAGGUCCCCCANAUUGGAACUGAGACACGGUCCAAACGUCCUACGGGAGGCA
rnacentral:rRNA from 1 species